UACGUAGGGUGCGAGCGUUGUCCGGAAUUAUUGGGCGUAAAGGGCUCGUAGGCGGUCCGUCACGUCGGAAGUGAAAACUCAGGGCUUAACCCUGAGCCUGCUUCCGAUACGGGCGGACUAGAGGUAUGCAGGGGAGAAUGGAAUACCUGGUGGAGCGGUGGAAUGCGCAGAUAUCAGGUGGAACACCAGUGGCGAAGGCGGUUCUCUGGGCAUUACCUGACGCUGAGGAGCGAAAGCGUGGGGAGCAAACAGG
rnacentral:rRNA from 1 species